GAAGCGCCCGCAGGUGCCUGUGCCUGUGUAUCCCGACAAUAAACCAAAUCCUCUUGCUGAUUGCAUCCUGUGGUGUCUCAGUCUGGUCUUUGGAGUUAGAGGGUCUCCAUCCCGAGGGAAAGUUCUCCCUGAGAGCUUUUCAUUUGGUGCAUUGGCCAGGAAAGGAGAUCCUCCACCCAGGGACCACCGACCACCCACUGGGAGGUAAGCCGGCCGGCGUCUGUCUGUCUGUCUGAUUUUGUCUCGUUCUGUCUUAUUCUGUCUGUUCUGUGAGCGCUCAGCCAGGUCUAUUCUGUGAGUGCUCAGCCAGGUCUGUUCUGUGAGUGCUCAGCCAGGUUGUUUGGAAUUUGGGCGGGACGAAGAAGGAGCUGACGAGCUCGGACUUCUCGCCCCGCAGCCCUGGAAGAUGUUCCAAGGGUGUUAGGGGCCCGACUUUUCGGGGCCCAAUCUGGGAGAGGAGAAAGAUCCGGACUAACGGCACCUCUGUCUGUAUUUUUGGCUUUCAGAGGGCCCCGGACCUUUGCCACCUCCAUCUGACUUUUUGCUUUCAGUUUGGUACCAAAGCCGUGCAGCACGCCUGUCUGUUGUUUGUUUGACUGUUGGUGUUGUUUGU
ensembl:lncRNA